UACGUAGGGCGCAAGCGUUGUCCGGAAUUAUUGGGCGUAAAGCGCACGUAGGCGGCUCUGCAAGUCGGAUGUGAAAUCCCUCGGCUCAACCAAGGAAGUGCAUCCGAAACUGCGGAGCUUGAGUACUUAAGAGGAUCGCGGAAUUCCCGGUGUAGAGGUGAAAUUCGUAGAUAUCGGGAGGAACACCAGUGGCGAAGGCGGCUACCUGGACAGAUACUGACGCUGAGGCGCGAGAGCGUGGGGAGCAAACAGG
rnacentral:rRNA from 1 species